rnacentral:lncRNA from 1 species
AGACGCCCGCUGGACGUCAACUCGGCCGGACGCGGGGCACGGGCGCUAACAGGCUCCUAGGAGCCUCCCCGGGCGCCCCCCGCCCAGGGCGCGCUCUGCUCACCUGCAGGUUUCGGCGGCUCCGCGGUGACUAACAACAGCGGCAGCAGCAGCAGCAGCAGCAGAAGCGGUGGCGGCUGUGGCAGCCCCGGGCGCCCGCCCGGACCGCCGCGGGUCAUCGCUCCACGGCCGCGACCUUCCUCUGCGGGAUCAGGCGGCCGCGGUGGCCCGCGGUGGCAGAAGUUGCAAGAGAGGCUCCUGGCCUACUCAGGGGCGCCGCCUCUCCGAGGUGGGGCGUCCUCAACUUUCCUCUUUCUUGAGCCCGGCCUGCUCCGGGCUCUGAGGGGCGAGGACGCUUCACGUGGUGGCCUGGGGCCCACCCCGCCUAGGAAAGGCGGAUCCUUUACGUCUGACCCUCUAGCAACCCCUGGGCCGGUCUGGGAAAGUUCCCCAGCUGCACUUCUGGGAAAUGCAGAGGCUGCCUGCCGCUUUCUUUCGCAGUUUUGCGGCCCAAGGCUUGGGCGAAUCAGUUCACAUCAACACCCCUACUAGCCUCUCCCUCCGGGGUCGACCAUUUAUCUCCAGCAGCGGACCAGGCGCCCGGGCCAGGGUGACAUGCGCGCCCUGCCUACACGCAGCUCGGAUCCUCUGCUGUUUCUGGAGAGGCCUCCACAGGUAGAAGCUCCCUGGAACAACUGCUGGAAUAAGGUUCCAGAGUGGAAGGUGGAAGCUCCCUCUUGGGAUAAAGGAUCCACAGUGGAAAAAAAAAAAGUUGCCCUCUGCUGGAAAACAGCAUCUUUGUCCUCUGAGAAAAACAGUCUCCCUUCUUACGGAGGCCAGUGGAUUCCAUCCUAGAGGCUGUGUUGACCGUAUCUCCAAAUAGACAAUAACGAGGCAUCUUGAUUCCCACAACUCCAGCAGCACAGGGACCUGAAAUGAAGGACAGAAAGCAGGAAGUGGAGGCAAUAGAAAUUGCAGAGUAGAGUGAAGACAGGUGGCAUUUCUGGGAUUGGUGCCAUGACAAUGGAAGACAGAAGACAAGACAAAGGCAUAACUUUCCGUAAGCAUUUCAUGGACCAGGCGAAUGCAGCUGGAUGGGGAAGCCUGUGGCACAAGGAGGUUCCAACAAGCAGAACAAAAGCCCAGGCUAGACUAUGCGCUGUGGCAUAUUAGGCCUUGGAUAUUCAGGAAGAUGGGGAAGAUUUGGAGGUAUGCUGACUGCAACAAAGGAGGUGGGCUCUCCCGGAAAGAAAACAACCAAUCAACCACAAAGAUUUCUAACACUCAUUUGGAGAACCUCCAGAGUAUCCGGAGAAACCUUUUUAAUUGGUGCAAUGACAAAACUUGGAACCUUUGAAAAACAUUCCUUUGGUGUGGCUUGGAUUCCUAGGUACACGACUGGAGUGGUUGUUCUUGACAUGCCCUGUAUAAAGUGCAUAGUAUUUUGGAGGCUGCAUAGAUGCAAUGACAAAAUUGGAUAUUCUGCCAUAUUUGCAAUUCAUUGUACUGCUUAUAUCUGAAAAGUCACAUGAGUUUGGUGAUAUGGUUUGGCUCCGUGUCCCCACCCAAAUCUCAUGCUGAAUUGUAAUCCCCAAUGUUAAGGGAGGGACCUGGUGGGAGGUGAUGGGAUCAUGGGUGCAGAUUUCCCCAUUGCUGUUCCUGUGUUAGUGAGUUCUCAUGAGAUCUAGUUGUUUGAACGUGUGUGGCACCUCCCCCUUUGCUCUCUCUCUCUCUUCCUGCCAUGCGAAGAAGGUGCUUGCUUCCCCUUCACUCUUCCACCAUGGUUGUACAUUUCCUGAGGCCUCCCCAGCCAUGCUUCUUGAACACCCUGUGGAACUGUGAGUUAUUUAAACCUCCUUUCCUCAUAAAUUACCUAGUCUCGGGUAGUUCUUUAUAAUAGGGUGAGAAUGGACUAUUACACUUGGAAAAUAGUGUGUUAUCCAGAGAGAGAAACUCAUGUUGUAAAUAAACGAAGGAAGGGCUGGGAGUUAACAUGAUGAGCUUUGAUAACAGGUUGUUGCUGACAUAGAUAAAAUUAGUAUACAGAGUAGAUCUCUUAGAAAGUCUUCCCAGAAGAAAAAACUUCUGGCCAGGCACAGUGGCUCACACCUGUAAUCCCAGCACUUUGGGAGGCCGAGGUGGGUGAAUCACCUGAGGUCAGGAGUUCGAGACCAGUCUGGCCAACAUGGUGAAACCCCCUCUCUACUAAAAAUGCAAAAAUUAGCUGGGUGUGGUGGCAGGCGCCUGUAAUCCCAGCUACUUGGGAGGCUGAGGCAGGAGAAUUGCUUGAACCCAGGAGGCAGAGGUUGCAGUGAGCUGAGCUCAUGUCGUUGCACUCCAGCCUGGGCAACAAGAGUGAAACUCCAUCUCAAAAAUAAAUAAAUUAAUUAAUUAAAUAAAAUAAAAAUAAAAAAGAAGAAACUUCUAUUUUAAUGUAUUUACCCCAAGGGGUACUAUUCAAAUAAAUGUCUAAGUGAUAUCUGGUUCCUACAUGCAAUCUUAAGUUUAUUUGCCCUUUGCUACACAUAUUUCUUUUUGAUUCUUCUAGUUAUUGCUCAUGCAUGUUUUAGUUUUAUCUUGCGCAUAAAAUUUUUACAUAAAUAACCAAAGUGAGUUGUGCUGAAGCCAUGGUGUAUUGUAGCUCUUCAAGAGACUUGUGUGAUAUAACCUUUGGAAAUCCAAUAAAAAC